rnacentral:misc_RNA from 1 species
UCGAGUUCUGACGGAGGAGUCUUGAUGCUGGCCCAGUAAUGGGUAUGUGCUCGGCUCCCCUGCUCAAAAUCCAACUCAACCACUGUGCACUAUUUCAAGCUUUGUUAGUCCUCCAGCCACUUUGUUGGCGCGGAGCAGCUCUCUUAACAAGAGAGUCGGGGCUGACAGGUUUGACUAUAUUACAACUACUUUGAAGUCUUGUAGAAUGUUAAUACUAUUGAAACAAUA